GCGGCGUGCCUAAUACAUGCAAGUCGAGCGAAUGGAUUAAGAGCUUGCUCUUAUGAAGUUAGCGGCGGACGGGUGAGUAACACGUGGGUAACCUGCCCAUAAGACUGGGAUAACUCCGGGAAACCGGGGCUAAUACCGGAUAACAUUUUGAACCGCAUGGUUCGAAAUUGAAAGGCGGCUUCGGCUGUCACUUAUGGAUGGACCCGCGUCGCAUUAGCUAGUUGGUGAGGUAACGGCUCACCAAGGCAACGAUGCGUAGCCGACCUGAGAGGGUGAUCGGCCACACUGGGACUGAGACACGGCCCAGACUCCUACGGGAGGCAGCAGUAGGGAAUCUUCCGCAAUGGACGAAAGUCUGACGGAGCAACGCCGCGUGAGUGAUGAAGGCUUUCGGGUCGUAAAACUCUGUUGUUAGGGAAGAACAAGUGCUAGUUGAAUAAGCUGGCACCUUGACGGUACCUAACCAGAAAGCCACGGCUAACUACGUGCCAGCAGCCGCGGUAAUACGUAGGUGGCAAGCGUUAUCCGGAAUUAUUGGGCGUAAAGCGCGCGCAGGUGGUUUCUUAAGUCUGAUGUGAAAGCCCACGGCUCAACCGUGGAGGGUCAUUGGAAACUGGGAGACUUGAGUGCAGAAGAGGAAAGUGGAAUUCCAUGUGUAGCGGUGAAAUGCGUAGAGAUAUGGAGGAACACCAGUGGCGAAGGCGACUUUCUGGUCUGUAACUGACACUGAGGCGCGAAAGCGUGGGGAGCAAACAGGAUUAGAUAC
rnacentral:rRNA from 1 species